AGUCGACCCCUAAGGCGAGGCUGAAAAGCGUAGUCGAUGGGAAACAGGUUAAUAUUCCUGUACUUGGUGUUACUGCGAAGGGGGGACGGAGAAGGCUAGGCUAGCCGGGCGACGGUUGUCCCGGUUUAAGCGUGUAGGGGGUGUGACCUGGUAAAUCCGGUUACAUAUCAACCCUGAGGCGUGAUGACGAUGCACUACGGUGCAGAAGUAGUUGAUGCCCUGCUUCCAGGAAAAGCCUCUAAGCUCUAGGUAACAUUGAAUCGUACCCCAAACCGACACAGGUGGUCAGGUAGAGAAUACCAAGGCGCUUGAGAGAACUCGGGUGAAGGAACUAGGCAAAAUGGUGCCGUAACUUCGGGAGAAGGCACGCUGGCAUGUAGGUGAAGUCCCUUGCGGAUGGAGCUGAAGC
rnacentral:rRNA from 1 species